rnacentral:rRNA from 1 species
CCUACGGGAGGCAGCAGUGAGGAAUAUUGGUCAAUGGUCGGAAGACUGAACCAGCCAUGCCGCGUGCAGGAAGAAUGCCUUAUGGGUUGUAAACUGCUUUUAUAUGGGAAGAAUAAGGACUACGCGUAGUUUGAUGACGGUACUCUGCGAAUAAGCAUCGGCUAACUCCGUGCCAGCAGCCGCGGUAAUACGGAGGAUGCGAGCGUUAUCCGGAAUCAUUGGGUUUAAAGGGUCCGUAGGCGGGCUAAUAAGUCAGAGGUGAAAGCGCUCAGCUCAACUGAGCAACUGCCUUUGAAACUGUUAGUCUUGAAUGGUUGUGAAGUAGUUGGAAUGUGUAGUGUAGCGGUGAAAUGCUUAGAUAUUACACAGAACACCGAUAGCGAAGGCAUAUUACUAACAAUUAAUUGACGCUGAUGGACGAAAGCGUGGGGAGCGAACAGGAUUAGAUACCCUGGUAGUCCACGCUGUAAACGAUGGAUACUAGCUGUUUGGUUGUAAGACUGAGUGGCUAAGCGAAAGUGAUAAGUAUCCCACCUGGGGAGUACGCACGCAAGUGUGAAACUCAAAGGAAUUGACGG